rnacentral:rRNA from 1 species
GUAUCCCACCUGGGGAGUACGAUCGCAAGGUUGAAACUCAAAGGAAUUGACGGGGGCCCGCACAAGCGGUGGAUUAUGUGGUUUAAUUCGAUGCAACGCGAAGAACCUUACCAGGGCUUGACAUCCUGCUAACGAGGUAGAGAUACGUCAGGUGCCCUUCGGGGAAAGCAGAGACAGGUGGUGCAUGGUUGUCGUCAGCUCGUGUCGUGAGAUGUUGGGUUAAGUCCCGCAACGAGCGCAACCCUUAUUGUUAGUUGCUACGCAAGAGCACUCUAGCGAGACUGCCGUUGACAAAACGGAGGAAGGUGGGGACGACGUCAAAUCAUCAUGCCCCUUAUGUCCUGGGCUACACACGUAAUACAAUGGCGGUAAACAGAGGGAUGCAAAACUGCGAAGUGGAGCGAACCCCUAAAAGCCGUCCCAGUUCAGAUUGCAGUCUGCAACUCGACUGCAUGAAGUCGGAAUCGCUAGUAAUCGCGGAUCAGCAUGCCGCGGUGAAU